AUGGGUAUGCUGGCGCGUCAAGGCUGGAGAUUAAUUCAGGAGUCUGAUUCUUUGUGUGGGAGAGUGUUGCGGGCAAAAUAUUUCCCUGAUGGCAAUAUCUUGGGGGGCACCGUGAAGCCAGGAAUCUCUUACACACGGCGCAGCAUCUUGAGGGGUGUUGCCCUCCUAAAGGAGGGUUUGGUUUGGAGAGUGGGGGAUGGGUCAAAGAUCAAAGUCUGGGAAGACCCAUGGCUGCCUGAAGGGGAUACUCGGAGGCCACGCGCUGUGAGGGGCUCCUCUGUUGUUGAGAUGGUGGCUGAUCUUAUCAACCCUACUACAGGGGCCUGA
rnacentral:rRNA from 1 species